CACAGAACAAACAUUACUUUGUAUUGUGUCUACAACUUAAUAAAAAUGCUACUAAUUUGAUGGAUUGCACUAAAUAGGGGUCAGCUUUAAUUUAAUAAUUGGUGAGAUACUCUUGCUAAUCUAUGUGUAAAUUGCUUUUCAGGACUAUGAGUGUGUGUUUGGCCAUCCAGAUUUCAUAACUACAACUGAUGUUCAAUUACAAUGGAUAUUAGUCAGUCUCAGUGGACUAUACACUGUGCCUAGUUUCAUCCUCAGAGACUGAUGUGUAAGCUUAAAGUAAAGACAUCAAAUCAAAGUAUCAGCCAUAAAGAGGAAAAACAUUCAAAAUCAUAUUGUGAUACACAAGUCAAGCAAGUCUAUGACCAGCAUUAUGAUACAGGCCAAGAAAAAGCUGGAUAUUUGAUUGGAAGGGUGGCACAAAAAACAUGGGUUAUCACUAAGGAAACAAGCUCGGGAUACAGUUCACUGUUGGGACAGCAAGCCAAAUACUUCUAAACUUAUUUGAAUCACUUUUGCUGUUUAUUAUAAUAAUUCACCCAAUUGUCUUAUUAAAUAAAUAAAUUUAUAUAUAUAUACACAAUUCCUAAUAUAGAGUUUUUAAAAAUGUUUUAUUAUAAUAUUUUAAAAAUGAAACAAGAAUUUUCAUUUUAAUCUGCAAAAGCUACAUUCUGUACAUUAUUAUUUUCAAACCACAUGAUAUAUUUUUCUCUUCUCUGAUAAAAAAUAUUCCUCAUAUUGUUUGUGUCAAGUAUUUUAUUUUUAUCUAUGCAACACUAUAUUCUUAUUUUAUAAU